rnacentral:rRNA from 1 species
GACGAACGCUGGCGGCGUGCUUAACACAUGCAAGUCGAACGGAAAGGCCCUGCUUUUGUGGGGUGCUCGAGUGGCGAACGGGUGAGUAACACGUGAGUAACCUCCCCUUGACUUUGGGAUAACUUCAGGAAACUGGGGCUAAUACCGGAUAGGAGCUCCUGCUGCAUGGUGGGGGUUGGAAAGUUUCGGCGGUUGGGGAUGGACUCGCGGCUUAUCAGCUUGUUGGUGGGGUAGUGGCUUACCGAGGCUUUGACGGGUAGCCGGCCUGAGAGGGUGACCGGCCACAUUGGGACUGAGAUACGGCCCAGACUCCUACGGGAGGCAGCAGUGGGGAAUAUUGCACAAUGGGCGGAAGCCUGAUGCAGCAACGCCGCGUGCGGGAUGACGGCCUUCGGGUUGUAAACCGCUUUCGCCUGUGACGAAGCGUGAGUGACGGUAAUGGGUAAAGAAGCACCGGCUAACUACGUG